GGGGGUGCAGCUCAGUGGUAGAGCGCCUGCCUAGGUGCGGAGGUCCUGGGUUCAAUCCCUGGUGCCUCCA
rnacentral:tRNA from 1 species